GAUCAGUCAUUCCUGGAGUCUGAACUGGUCUGAUGGUGGUUACUCUGUCUGUCACAAUAACAGAAGAACAAGCGUAACGUCCAUCUC